UACGGGGGGGGCAAGCGUUGUUCGGAAUUACUGGGCGUAAAGGGCUCGUAGGCGGCCAACUAAGUCAGACGUGUAAUCCCCCGGCUUAACCAGGGAACUGCGUCUGAUACUGGAUGGCUUGAGUUUGGGAGAGGGAUGCGGAAUUCCAGGUGUAGCGGUGAAAUGCGUAGAUAUCUGGAGGAACACCGGUGGCGAAGGCGACAUCCUGGACCAACACUGACGCUGAGUGAGCGAAAGCCAGGGGAGCAAACGGG
rnacentral:rRNA from 1 species